rnacentral:sRNA from 1 species
UAGGGAAAUUUGCAAAUAUAGCCAACAAAAAAAUUAUAAUUGCAAAACUAACACUUCAACCAAUAUGUAUUGAACUUUAUGCAAUAUUGACAAACUUAACCCGUGCGUGAGCACACGCGCUUAUUCUUCUUCUUCUGAGUUUUCAAUCGAUAACUUCUAUGUAUUACUCUGUAAAAAUUCAAAUAGAGGUGAACAUUCAGAGAAGUUACAGUAAGAAAAUCUGAAAAUUCUGGGCUUUAAAAAGCGACACCCGGGAAAGUUUCGAAGAGCAGACUGCGUGUGCAAUCCGAGUGACGAUUCUAGAGUUUACGAAGAUUGAAUUUGUGGGUUUCGAUUUGGGGACUGUGGAGGCUUCGAUUUCUGGCAAUCGGACUGCAUAAAUCUUCUGCAAUUGGAGGAGGAGCCUAUCUAAGCAUCCGAGUUUCGUACAACACUUAUGUUGGCUCUUUUCUCAAUCGAGGGUUUUUGAUUCCGUUGAGAGUACUUGAGUGAGUUUUGUUGUACGGGAGUAGAGGUGUUUAUAUCUCCGUCGUCUCCACUGUAACACUCGAAUUUCUGUGGCAAUUGGUGUCGGCGAAGGGAUUCAGCCAAAUUAAGGUAUGAAAUGCCAUUUUUUGGCUUUUGGGAAAAUCUUUUUAAUUUGUGUUGAAGAGCUUGAAUAGCAUAAACUCGGAUUUGAGUAGCUUUAGGUAGGGAAUCUGCUUGGUUAAUACGAUAUUCAU